UUCUUAAUUUGCUCUGCAAUGGGAUGGGAUCCGAAGCCCUCCGAGGGAUAAUAUAGGCUCUUCCAUCCAACUCCUAUUCCGACACGUCCUCGUCGUGCAGAGUGGUAACAUGUGCCUCCAUAUAUCCUAGCUUG
rnacentral:ribozyme from 1 species